UACGGGGGGGGCAAGCGUUGUUCGGAAUUACUGGGCGUAAAGGGCUCGUAGGUGGCCAACUAAGUCAUACGUGAAAUCCCUCGGCUUAACCGGGGAACUGCGUCUGAUACUGGAUGGCUUGAGGUUGGGAGAGGGAUGCGGAAUUCCAGGUGUAGCGGUGAAAUGCGUAGAUAUCUGGAGGAACACCGGUGGCGAAGGCGGCAUCCUGGACCAUGACUGACGCUGAGGAGCGAAAGCCAGGGGAGCAAACGGG
rnacentral:rRNA from 1 species